rnacentral:lncRNA from 1 species
UUAUGCUACUCGUCUUGCUCUCGAUUUCUUUGCUUUCACUGACUUUUUUUUAAAUUGUGAGUUUUGGCUUUUUGUUGUUGUUGUGAAGGGCAGGGUUUAAAGGGAGGUGUAGACAAUGAGUCUCCAUUGGUCCACUAAUUUGAGGGAUGGUUUACCUUAACCUAAUCAAUGAACAUGAGUUUAUUUAUUUUUUGGGCUACUUAACUAGAUGGUCUGACAUCACCACUACACGCCAAAUCUUUCCCUCUGUGGCCGCAUGUUCUGAACAUGGCGAACCACUUACUAACAGCUGCGCCGAUCUUUGGGCAACAGCUUCUUGAUAUGCCAUACCUGUCAGGUGGAUGGAUUAUCUUGGCAUAGGAGAAAUGCUCACUAACAGUCUUUUGUCUGAGGUUCCUGAACGCACCCUGUCUGGUUGCCAGGCAACGAAGCUAGGCGGGAGAACUUUUGAUUACCCGCACCUGCAUCUCAUCAACCAUCUGCACACCUGGUCCUGAUCAUCACCUCUUCAUAAGCCCUGACCUGACAUCCAUUCCCUGCCGGAUCGUUAGCAACGAACAUCAUUCUCCCAGAACAUUCGACUCCCUUGCCUGGCCGUCGGUGGAUUCAGUGACUUCAUUGGAUCAACCCAUUCACUCUCAUCAACUCACCUCCGCUGCCGUUCCGUCUCCUGGAUUAUUCAAUUUACACAUCAAGACUACCAAUAAAUACUCACCUUC